UGGCGACUGCGGAGGUCAUUAUCGAGUUUUGAAUGGGUUGUCUGCUGGCUCGCAAGGGCAUGUGCACGCCUGUCUCAUCCACUCUCAACUUCUGUGCACUUUUCAUAGGCCGGCUUGUGGGUGCGUUCGCGCACUUGUAGGUGUCGGGCUUAUGCUUUACUACAAACGAUUCAGUUUUAGAAUGUCAUACUUUGCUAUAACGCAAUUAUAUACAACUUUCAGCAACGGAUCUCUUGGCUCUCGCAUCGAUGAAGAACGCAGCGAAAUGCGAUAAGUAAUGUGAAUUGCAGAAUUCAGUGAAUCAUCGAAUCUUUGAACGCACCUUGCGCUCCUUGGUAUUCCGAGGAGCAUGCCUGUUUGAGUCUCAUGGAAUUCUCAACCUUCAGCUUUAUUGAUGAAGGCUUGGACUUGGAGGUCGUGCCGGCUCUCGUAGUCGGCUCCUCUGAAAUGCAUUAGUGCGAACGUUACCAGCCGCUUCAGCGUGAUAAUUAUCUGCGUUGCUGUGGAGGGUAUUCUAGUGUUCACGCUUCUAACCGUCUUCGGACAAAUUUCUGAACUCUGAGCUCAAAUCAGGUAGGACUACCCGCUGAACUUAAGCAUACAA
rnacentral:rRNA from 1 species